UAAGGAAUAUUGGACAAUGGGCGCAAGCCUGAUCCAGCCAUGCCGCGUGAAGGAUGAAGGCCCUAUGGGUCGUAAACUUCUUUUAUACGGGACAAAACCCCCCGAUGCGUCGGGGGUUGAUGGUACUGUAAGAAUAAGGGUCGGCUAACUUCGUGCCAGCAGCCGCGGUAAUACGAAGGACCCGAGCGUUAUCCGGAUUUAUUGGGUUUAAAGGGUGCGUAGGCGGAUUAGUAAGUCAGUGGUGAAAGCCCGUCGCUCAACGGCGGAACUGCCAUUGAUACUGCUAGUCUUGAGUAUGGUUGAGGUGGGCGGAAUGUGUCAUGUAGCGGUGAAAUGCUUAGAUAUGACCAGAACACCAAUUGCGAAGGCAGCUCGCUAAGCCAUAACUGACGCUGAUGCACGAAAGCGUGGGAGCAAACAGGAUUAGAUACCCUGGUAGUCCACGCCCUAAACUAUGAUCACUCGUUGUUGGCGAUACACAGUCAGCGAACG
rnacentral:rRNA from 1 species